UACGUAGGUCCCGAGCGUUGUCCGGAUUUAUUGGGCGUAAAGGGAACGCAGGCGGUCUUUUAAGUCUGAUGUGAAAGCCUUCGGCUUAACCGGAGUAGUGCAUUGGAAACUGGGAGACUUGAGUGCAGAAGAGGAGAGUGGAACUCCAUGUGUAGCGGUGAAAUGCGUAGAUAUAUGGAAGGACACCAGUGGCGAAAGCGGCUCUCUGGUCUGUAACUGACGCUGAGGUUCGAAAGCGUGGGUAGCAAACAGG
rnacentral:rRNA from 1 species